GAUCAGCUCGUCCGGCUCCCUCAACACUUCUUCUUGGACAUUCAUCGACAGACCCUCCUCUGGCUGCCUGCCAUGGCUCCUAAUGAGAACAAGGCACACGUACCCAUUUCAAGACAUCAUUAGAGUUAUUUGGAAAGAACUCUCCAUGCCCUGCGUUCUUAUCACAUCCUGUCCUCAAGUUCCUGUUUGAGCUGAACUGAGUGAACUUGCAGGAAGGAGGGGGUGAUAGCACUUGGCGCGCUUGUCUGUUCCAUUUCGCCGUGAUCCAUGUGUUGUGAUGCCUGCAGUGUCCUGGUUUGACCCUCCACCACCAAAAGACCAAC